AGUGAACGCUGGCGGUAGGCCUAACACAUGCAAGUCGAACGGCAGCACAGUAAGAGCUUGCUCUUACGGGUGGCGAGUGGCGGACGGGUGAGGAAUACAUCGGAAUCUACUUUUUCGUGGGGGAUAACGUAGGGAAACUUACGCUAAUACCGCAUACGACCUACGGGUGAAAGCAGGGGAUCUUCGGACCUUGCGCGAUUGAAUGAGCCGAUGUCGGAUUAGCUAGUUGGCGGGGUAAAGGCCCACCAAGGCGACGAUCCGUAGCUGGUCUGAGAGGAUGAUCAGCCACACUGAAGCUGAGACACGGUCCAGACUCCUACGGGAGGCAGCAGUGGGAAAUAUUGGACAGUGGGCGCAAGCCUGAUCCAGCCAUCCCGCGUGGGUGAAGAGGGCCUUCGGGUUGUAAAGCCCUUUUGUUGGGAAAGAAAAGCGGCAGGUUAAUACCCCACUGUUCUGACGGUACCCAAAGAAUAGGCACCGGCUAACUUCGU
rnacentral:rRNA from 1 species